rfam:Cryptosporangium arvum DSM 44712 genomic scaffold CryarDRAFT_CAH.1, whole genome shotgun sequence.
GCGCAGCCCUCACCACUCGGAUCGUCCGGCACGUUCCUGCCGGUGGAAAGGACUGCAU